CUACCUGGCAGUUUGGCUAAAGUCAAGUGUAAUAUCUGUUAUCAUCACUUUAAUAUAUUAAACUGUUUUUUGGGUUGUUGGGUUUUUGUUGUUUAUUUUUUUCAGAAAAGGGAGAUGGAAUAGAGGCUUGUUUUGUCCACUCCUCACAUUGAUCUGGUAUUGUAGUACCUCCAGAGUUAGGUGCAACUUCC